UUUUUCCUCAUUUUGUUUCCUUAUUCGGGUUGUACUUCACUUUGCUGCACACAACAUGUAAUUAUGAAUACCAGUCAGAACAGUAGUUCGAUAUAGGAAUACAGUUACAAGUUACACCAUCGCCUACCUCCUAAGGAUGCGUUUAUUAAUAUGUUUCGUUUAGAAAUUCUGAUCAAAUUAUAACCUUCAUGUGCGGACCGUAUCAUCCUAUGGUAAAAUACGCUAGUUUUUAUAGUUAUGACUGUGUAGAUAUUUUAUAAUGUAAAACGAGAAAAAAUAAUAACCAACUACAUGUCAGUCUGUGGUAUUCAACAAGACCAGACGAGAAUAUCAACGGCAUUAUUUAUGUACAAAAUUACGAACAAAAACCAAAUAUGACACAAUAAUGCAUUGUUUGAUCUUUUUAUGCUUGGUCUUUAAAGAUAUUAGAGUUGAUUAUUUUUGAAUAACUUUUACAUUUUAUAUAAAUUCAUAACUGUGUGUGUCUGCAUUUAUUAAAGAGACAAGGAAGAAAAUACAGAAACC
rnacentral:lncRNA from 1 species